rnacentral:ncRNA from 2 species
ACCGUUCAUCUCCCCCAAAUGCUAAAUCAAGAGGGACGCAUUCCGGUGUUUGAGGAAGACGGAAGUAGGGAAUUUUCCCGAAGGAACGCACA